rnacentral:rRNA from 1 species
GCAAGUCGAACGCUGAAGGCUCAGCUUGCUGGGCUGGAUGAGUGGCGAACGGGUGAGUAACACGUGAGUAACCUGCCCUCUUCUUUGGGAUAACGGUCGGAAACGGCUGCUAAUACCGGGUAUUCACUGUCCUUCGCAUGGGGGGUGGUGGAAAGGUUUUUUCUGGUGGGGGAUGGGCUCGCGGCCUAUCAGCUUGUUGGUGGGGUGAUGGCUUACCAAGGCUUUGACGGGUAACCGGCCUGAGAGGGUGACCGGUCACAUUGGGACUGAGAUACGGCCCAGACUCCUACGGGAGGCAGCAGUGGGGAAUAUUGCACAAUGGGCGAAAGCCUGAUGCAGCGACGCCGCGUGAGGGAUGAAGGCCUUCGGGUUGUAAACCUCUUUCGCUCAUGGUCGAGCCGCAACUUUGGGUUGUGGUGAGGGUAGUGGGUAAAGAAGCACCGGCUAACUACGUGCCAGCAGCCGCGGUAAUACGUAGGGUGCGAGCGUUGUCCGGAAUUAUUGGGCGUAAAGGGCUUGUAGGCGGUUUGUCGCGUCUGCCGUGAAAUCCUCUAGCUUAACUGGGGGCGUGCGGUGGGUACGGGCAGACUUGAGUGCGGUAGGGGAGACUGGAACUCCUGGUGUAGCGGUGGGAUGCGCAGAUAUCAGGAAGAACACCGGUGGCGAAGGCGG